GCCUGGUUGGCUUAAUUAGUAGAGCAUAUGACUCUUGAUCUUGGCAUUGUGAGUCUGAGCCCCACAUUGGGUG
rnacentral:tRNA from 1 species